rnacentral:rRNA from 1 species
UACGUAGGGUGCAAGCGUUGUCCGGAAUUAUUGGGCGUAAAGAGCUCGUAGGCGGUUUGUCGCGUCUGCUGUGAAAACCCGAGGCUCAACCUCGGGCCUGCAGUGGGUACGGGCAGACUAGAGUGCGGUAGGGGAGAUUGGAAUUCCUGGUGUAGCGGUGAAAUGCGCAGAUAUCAGGAAGAACACCAAUGGCGAAAGCAGCUUCUGGGACGGUACUGACGCUGAGACGCGAAAGCGUGGGGAGCGAACAGG